rnacentral:rRNA from 1 species
GUUUGAUUAUGGCUCAGUAACGAACGCUGGCGGCACGCCUAACACAUGCAAGUCGAGCGCUUCCCACCAACUUCGGUUGUGGGGAGGAGCGGCGGACGGGUUAGUAACGCGUGGGAAUAUACCCAUCACUAAGGAAUAGCCUCUGGAAACGGAGAGUAAUACCUUAUACGCCCUUCGGGGGAAAGAUUUAUCGGUGAUGGAUUAGCCCGCGUAAGAUUAGAUAGUUGGUGGGGUAGCGGCCUACCAAGUCGACGAUCUUUAGCUGGUUUGAGAGGAUGAUCAGCAACACUGGGACUGAGACACGGCCCAGACUCCUACGGGAGGCAGCAGUGGGGAAUCUUAGACAAUGGGCGCAAGCCUGAUCUAGCGAUGCCGCGUGAGUGAUGAAGGUCUUAGGAUCGUAAAGCUCUUUCGCCAGGGAUGAUAAUGACAGUACCUGGUAAAGAAACCCCGGCUAACUCCGUGCCAGCAGCCGCGGUAAUACGGAGGGGGUUAGCGUUGUUCGGAAUUACUGGGCGUAAAGCGCACGUAGGCGGAUUGGAAAGUAGGGGGUGAAAUCCCAGGGCUCAACCCUGGAACUGCCUCCUAAACUAACAGUCUAGAGUUCGAGAGAGGUGAGUGGAAUUCCAAGUGUAGAGGUGAAAUUCGUAGAUAUUUGGAGGAACACCAGUGGCGAACGCGGCUCACUGGCUCGAUACUGACGCUGAGGUGCGAAAGCGUGGGAGCAAACAGGAUUA